rnacentral:rRNA from 1 species
AUCUUCCGCAAUGGACGAAAGUCUGACGGAGCAACGCCGCGUGAGUGAUGAAGGUUUUCGGANCGUAAAACUCUGUUGUUAGGGANNCCNNNGNACCGUUCGAAUAGGGCGGUACCUUGACGGUACCUAANNNGNANGCCACGGCUAACUACGUGCCAGCAGCCGCGGUAAUACGUAGGCGGCAAGCGUUGUCCGGAAUUAUUGGGCGUAAAGCGCGCGCAGGCGGUUUCUUAAGUCUGAUGUGAAAGCCCCCGGCUCAACCGGGGAGGGUCAUUGGAAACUGGGGAACUUGAGUGCAGAAGAGGAGAGUGGAAUUCCACGUGUAGCGGUGAAAUGCGUAGAGAUGUGGAGGAACACCAGUGGCGAAGGCGACUCUCUGGUCUGUAACUGACGCUGAGGCGCGAAAGCGUGGGGAGCGAACAGG